rnacentral:rRNA from 1 species
GACGAACGCUGGCGGCGUGCUUAACACAUGCAAGUCGAACGGAAAGGCCCUGCUUUUGUGGGGUGCUCGAGUGGCGAACGGGUGAGUAACACGUGAGUAACCUGCCCUUGACUUUGGGAUAACUUCAGGAAACUGGGGCUAAUACCGGAUAGGAGCUCCUGCUGCAUGGUGGGGGUUGGAAAGUUUCGGCGGUUGGGGAUGGACUCGCGGCUUAUCAGCUUGUUGGUGGGGUAGUGGCUUACCAAGGCUUUGACGGGUAGCCGGCCUGAGAGGGUGACCGGCCACAUUGCGACUGAGAUACUGCCCAGACUGCAACGGGGGGCAGCAGUGGCGAAUAUUGCACAAUGGGCGGAAGCCUGAUGCAGCACCGCCGCGUGCGGGAUGACGGCCUUCGGGUUGUAAACCGCUUUCGCCUGUGACGAAGCGUGAGUGACGGUAAUGGGUAAAGAAGCACCGGCUAACUUCGUG